CAUUUUUUACCUUCGCCAUGGCCUCCUGGGCUGUUUUUCUCCUCACAUUUCUCAGUUACUGCUCAGAUAAAGGUGUCCAUUCACAGCUAAGUUUCACUCAACCUGCCGCACAGUCUGUGUCCCUGGGGCAAACGGCUCAACUCUCCUGCGCCGCCAGUGGCACUACGUACAACUUCCACUGGCUUCAGCAAAGGCCUGGCCAGGGCCCUCGCUUUGCCCUCUAUGGCACCAGCACCCGGGGAGACGGGAUCCCGGAUCGGUUCACAGGUUCCAGUUCGGGGAAUAUCCAGUAUUUAACCAUCUCUAAUGCUCAGGCUGAGGAUGAGGCAGAGUAUUACUGUGUUGCGUGCAACAGUGGCUGUGGCAUGAUUCACAGUGGUAAAUUCUAA